GAUGAACGCUAGCGGCAGGCCUAAUACAUGCAAGUCGAGGGGUAACGUGUUCUGCUUGCAGAAUGACGACGACCGGCGCACGGGUGCGUAACGCGUAUGCAACCUACCUUAUACAGGGGGAUAGCCCAGAGAAAUUUGGAUUAAUACCCCAUAGUACUCAUUUACCUCAUGGUUUAUGAUUUAAAACUCCGGUGGUAUAAGAUGGGCAUGCGUUAGAUUAGCUAGUUGGUAAGGUAACGGCUUACCAAGGCGACGAUCUAUAGGGGGUCUGAGAGGAUGAUCCCCCACACUGGAACUGAGACACGGUCCAGACUCCUACGGGAGGCAGCAGUAAGGAAUAUUGGUCAAUGGAGGCAACUCUGAACCAGCCAUGCCGCGUGUGCGAAGAAGGCGUUCUGCGUCGUAAAGCACUUUUAAAUAGGAAGAAACGCUCUUUGCGAAGAGCUAUGACGGUACUAUCAGAAUAAGGACCGGCUAACUCCG
rnacentral:rRNA from 1 species